UGGGGAAUAUUGGGCAAUGGGCGCAAGCCUGACCCAGCAACGCCGCGUGAAGGAAGAAGGCCCUCGGGUUGUAAACUUCUUUUAUCAAGGACGAAGCAAGUGACGGUACUUGAUGAAUAAGCCACGGCUAACUACGUGCCAGCAGCCGCGGUAAUACGUAGGUGGCAAGCGUUAUCCGGAUUUACUGGGUGUAAAGGGCGUGUAGGCGGGACUGCAAGUCAGAUGUGAAAACCAUGGGCUCAACCCAUGGCCUGCAUUUGAAACUGUAGUUCUUGAGUGUUGGAGAGGCAGGCGGAAUUCCGUGUGUAGCGGUGAAAUGCGUAGAUAUACGGAGGAACACCAGUGGCGAAGGCGGCCUGCUGGACAAUAACUGACGCUGAGGCGCGAAAGCGUGGGGAGCAAACAGGAUUAGAUACCC
rnacentral:rRNA from 1 species